rnacentral:rRNA from 1 species
AACGCGUGAGCAACCUGGCCUUCAGAGUGGAACAACGUCUGGAAACGGGCGCUAAUACCGCAUAAUACAAGAGAGUCGCAUGGCUUUUUUGUCAAAGGAGAAAUCCGCUGAAGGAUGGGCUCGCGUCCGAUUAGCUAGAUGGGGUGGUAACGGCACACCAUGGCGACGAUCGGUAGCCGAACUGAGAGGUUGAUCGGCCGCAUUGGGACUGAGACACGGCCCAG